rnacentral:lncRNA from 10 species
UCCAAGGAUAAGGGGCUUCACUUUUCCCAAGUAGGGGAAAGAGAAGGGGUCUACAGGGCUAGGGGUGGAGGGAGCGGAUGCAGUGAGCAGCCUCCGCAGAGAAAUUGACAAUUUAACCAGGGACCUGCGGCAGAGACAAGGCGGAGACACUCCCUUGCCCAGGAAAGCCGCCAGAGUCCGGCUUGUACCUGGGGAAGAAUCCUUAAGACGGUCUGGCCCAACACUCCUUUGCUCACAGAGAAAGGGGAGAAGACUCCCGAGGGUGAAAAUGGUACAUUCGGAGCUGGAACUCAGCUCGCUGACCCCAAGCAGUGUUCCCUUCUUUUCGCCAGGUUUGCAUCCAAGAGAGGGGAGGACAGGGGCAAAAGGAUGCAGGGAGGCUGCUGAUUUCCACUGAAGAGCUAAUUUCCUGUGAGACAUUAACAGUGAUUUAAGAAAAAGAUUCCUGUAACUGUAAUGUCUUACAAUAACAGAAUGCAGGAGAGCACAUAUCAAUGAAGAAAAGACAAAAUGUACUUAUCCAUGAAGCUGAGGUUAAGAAACCAGUGUCUUCAAGAGCCAGGGACAGCACUGGGUCUGUGCAGAGUUGAGAGAUGGUGAUGACAUGUGGUUUCCAGCAUUCCUCACCCAGUCCAGGGACACUGUGGGUGUGCCCAGCUUAAGUCCAGUAAC